CUGAAGAUGGUGUUAUUGGGAAUUUCUGAACUGGCCACUACGACCUGCUCCAUUACUGAAAAUGCACAUCUUACUAAAAUGCUAACUAAGCUUUAUUUGUGAUAUUUUCCCCAUGCAACUUCUGUAAAUCCCAUGAGGGGACACCAUCUUUCUCCUCCCUCCUCUUCCAACAGCUGGACAUUCACAAUCAAAUGACAGAGCUUGUGUUGCUCCCAGCAGAGAGACAAGACAGCAUAAGAAGAUGUUGGAGCUCUGAAUGAAUAACAGUGAUGUUUAAGAACAGAAGAACGUUUAAUUUUGCUAGACCAAGAAGUCAACAGCAUACAACCAGAGAAAAUGCUCCUUGGAGGGACCAAGUUACUGCAAGACCUAAUUUUCCACCAUCCAUUAACUGAAAUACUGUCAGAAGACCAAGGUUGGAAUCCUCCUCUCUCCUCUUCCCAGCUAUCUGAAAGGUUUAGCAGUGCCAUCACUGGAAUGAGUAUUCCAUCAUAAAUCCUGCGUUACUUUACAGUGUGUCGAUUAUUAAAGGCGCAACAUACUGCACUGCAAAAUUACAAAGACUUUACAAGGAACAGCUGAUUUCUCUUACUGAUUGUGGACAGAUGGUAGGAUCCGACUAUCACUAAAUCAGCUUCGUCAAAUAUGUUAUUAGUUCCCCAACCCAAUAUUCACUGUGUAUUCUUAAUGAAAUCGUUGAACGGAAAGGAUGAUGUGCCAAACUUAAAAGAGCGUGAACAACAGAAAUCCAUCUUCCUCAAAGAUCAAACUUCUCCUGAUAUACUAUAAACGUUUAUACAAAUUACAAAAAACAGAGUUCCUCAUGAAAAAGCAGCUCAUUACAAAACACAAAAGAUCAAAACAGAAACUCUACUUUUUGCUUACUUUUUAAUCAAGAGUCUGUUAGGUUGUUUCUUUGUGGCCAUGAAGUAAUUCAGGAAAAUCUGGAGGUCAGAAGACUGAGUGCCACAGAACGAUGUCUCAAUGAACAAGCAUAAUGGACUUUCAGGUAUCUAAGAUAUCCAGUCCCUCAAAGGCUGGACAUGCAGCAUCUCCAUGAGAUAAUCCCCAUCAGCAAGCAAUAAGCACUUCAUUUCUCAGAACUGCCAUCUAGAGCUUCAGUACUACUUAAUGCUCUCAAGAGAAGAUACAUGAUUCUACUUUGAUUUUGAGAAGGCAAUCCUGAAUCGCAAUUAAUUCUUCCCUUAAGAGCAUAAAGAAUAAGAAGUUUUCAUAGAAUUACCAGAUUUGUAACCUAGCAUUCGCACAGAAUCUUACUUCUGUAUUUUUCAAUGCAUAGUCUCCUUGCAAUCAAAACUCAUUUUGAUGGAAGACACAGCCCAUAUUUUACUAAUGGAAAUGAUUCUCAUACGAACAUUUUUGCCUGUCUUCCUUGCAGUGACAUCUCUUCUCUCUUGUCCUCAUAAGGUUAAAGCUCAGUAAAUGGAACUAGUGAUUAUCACUGUGCACAGUAAUGAUUCUUUGCUUCAGCAAUUCCCACUCAAUCAGUACAUUAUUUUCAUUUACACUGAACAGUGAUAAAAAAUGAUUCCUAGAUAUUAAUACACACAUUUUAUACUACUUGAAUUUUGAAUAGGUAACAUUUUCAUGUAGACAUGGCAUUAGUUUAAUGUAAAAUUGUGAUACAUCUUUUGAAAUACUAACAUUCUGUGCUAUUAAACAUAUGCUCAUUUUUUUUAAAUUUGGGAGGUGUUUGGUUUUGAAUACAUACAAUGAACUAACAAAUACAUUCUUAUUUGUACUGAAGUAAACACAAUAUCCUUACAACUUAUUUCUUUAAAUUAUUUUCUGAAAUAUAAUCAGUACUUCAAGCUCUCAGUGAAAAAAGUAAAGCAGCAUACUGUCAAUUUUAGUUCCUAAGGCAAGUACAUCAUAAUUUUGUUGUAUGUUAAGAUAUUUUUAAUGAGAUCCAUAUAAUGGACAGCUCUGAAAUAAAUAGAACUUACAUAUAGAAGU